UACGUAGGGUGCAAGCGUUAUCCGGAAUUAUUGGGCGUAAAGAGCUCGUAGGCGGCUUGUCGCGUCGACUGUGAAAUCCCGCGGCUCAACUGCGGGUCUGUAGUCGAUACGGGCAGGCUAGAGUUCGGUAGGGGAGACUGGAAUUCCUGGUGUAGCGGUGAAAUGCGCAGAUAUCAGGAGGAACACCGGUGGCGAAGGCGGGUCUCUGGGCCGAUACUGACGCUGAGGAGCGAAAGCGUGGGGAGCGAACAGG
rnacentral:rRNA from 1 species